AAGUUACACUAAACAAAAAAGCGGUCAAUGUCUACCCCAAACACACAGGAUGUAGCUCUAGAUUCUAGGCCCCACACGUGGGUAUGACCACACGUGUGAUAGAGAAAGUGGGCCCGUUGCAUGACAGAUAACAAUAACUACACGCGAUAAGGAGAUUACUAGAUUAUACUGAAGUUACACAUUAUGGCCUGUCAGUUACUCUCUCCGCUGUAAAUCGUCGCCGUUUCGACUUGUCACUAAAAGCGAUUCUAGACUCAAACAAUCAUUUUUUUUUGUUAUUUGGAACUUGCUUGUAAAUAGAACAUGGACAGGGCAAUCAACGCUCGGUCAAUACAGUUACAAUUUGUGAGUGUCAAACGGAAAAAAAGCGCAUAAAUGAUAUUAAGUAUAUAGAUCUACAUUAUUCAAGGUGGCGGACGAAAAAAGUAGUCCGUCUCACAUAUUCAGGAGCCUCUCUCUGAAUCGGAAAAAAUUAUUUCAAUGAAAAAUGAGGACGAUCAGCAGACGUGAACUUUUUUUUAUGGUCUACAUCCCAAUGUGAGACGUCUGCUGGAUAGAGGAGGAGAUUCAGAGAGCCUCCUUGUAUUAUCAUUACAUCCUAAGCGAGAACUGUUACCCAAAGUGUAAUGAAUAAAAUCUUCGGAGAGAGAGAGAGUAGAAACAGAACAGACUUGUGAUUUGAAUGCUGGUCGGCAAUCAAGAAACCAAAGCGUUACCUCUAGAUUUAAGUAAUUCUAGGAGUUUGUACUAUAUAAAACUAAGUUGGACGUCUGUAUUGGACUGUGUAUGUGUUUAAUUAUGAGUAAAAAGGGACCGAAGAGUUAAGUUGUGUGCGCUGCAAGAGAUUCUGAUGAAAUCACGAGAUGGUCACUUUCGGCACUCUUACUAAUAUCGUGAUUGUUAUUAUUAUCCGAAUCUGAAACCCCAUUGGUUACGAACCAUGUUGAAAUUCAUUUCGUCCCUCUAAAGAUACGUGAGUCGGAGAAAUGUACACAGUGUGCGAUUUAUAAUGUAAAAAAACAAAACAACGAAAUAUUGUAUCAUUACUGUUAUGGAGAGUAUGUGUGCAUUUCCAAGGUAACGUGUAAAGAUUAGUUGUCUUUGACGGACGGGUCUCUAAUGAAACCACGCAUAGUGACGACAGAAAUAAAAUGAAUAGAAGACGAAGGGGAUCAGACGUGAGACAGAGAGGACGUAUAUUUUUGUAGUACAGAAAAUACAAAAUGAAAUCAGCUUAAAUUACGGCAAGCUUGGGGUCAUCCUGAUGAUGUAUUAAUGUUGUUAAAUUAAGUCUCCCCAUGAUGCAACGACCUACAGCGCCAGACAUUAGCAAAUUCUUGUUGAUAUCAUCAAGUAUAAAUGGUUUAUGCAUUGUUUAAAGGCUUAUCAUUGAUCAAUCUAGUGGAGAUAAUGCUAACAAGAAGUAAUUUUACAUUAUAUAUAUAAAUAUUAUCAAGCUUAGGGAGCUUCUACGAAACAGCAUUGUAGAAAAAGAAUAAAAGUUUAUUUAUAAA
rnacentral:sRNA from 1 species